UACGUAGGGGGCAAGCGUUGUCCGGAUUCAUUGGGCGUAAAGAGCGUGUAGGCGGCCAGGCAGGUCGGUUGUGAAAACUGGAGGCUCAACCUUCAGAGGUCGACCGAAACCAUCUGGCUAGAGUCCGGGAGAGGAGAGUGGAAUUCCUGGUGUAGCGGUGAAAUGCGUAGAGAUCCGGAAGAACACCAAAGGCGAAGGCAGUGUCCUGGCUGGCUCCUGACGCUCAGGUGCGAAGGUCAGGGGAGCAAACGGG
rnacentral:rRNA from 1 species